rnacentral:lncRNA from 13 species
AUGCAUCUGCCAUUCUUUAAUCCAUCCAUCUUAUCUGUUAACCCAUCUGUCGAUCAUUCAUCCAUCUAUCCAUCAUCCUUUUGUUCAUCUCUCCACCAUUCUAUUAAUCCUGUCUAUUCAUCUGUCUGUCCACCCAACCAUCUGUCCAUCCACCCUCCUCCUAUCCACCCAUCUUAUCCAUCUGUCCAUCAUUCAACCAUCCAUCCAUCAUUCUUGUGUUUAUCCAUUGUCCCAUUCAUUCAUCCAUCCAUCCUAUCUAUUCAUCUGUCCAUUAUCCAACUAUCCAUCCUAUCUGUUCAUCUGUCCAUCCUCAGCCAUCUGUCUGCCAUCCUUUUAUUCAUCCAUUGUCCAACCCAUAUCCAUGAAUCCAUCUCCCUGUUCAUUCACCCAUCCAUUCAUCCAUCUAUCCUGGCUAUUUUCCAUCAUCCAACCAUUGGUACAUAUGCCAUCCAUCCACUCUAUCCAUCUAUCAUCAUUCUAUUCCUCCAUCUGUCCACCCAUUCUUCUAUCCAUCUUGCCUAUUCACCUGUUUGUUCAUCCAACCAUCUGUCCAUCUGCCAUCCUCCCAUCCACCCAUCCUAUCCAUCUGUCUAUCAUCCAACUAUCCAUCCAUCCAUCAUUCUUCUGUUUAUCCAUUGUCCCGUUCAUUCAUUGAUCCAUCCAUCCUAUCUCUUCAUCUGUCCAUCAUCAGCCUUCUGUCUGCCAUCCUUUUAUUCAUCCAUUGUCCAACCCAUAUCCAUACAUCCAUCCAUUCAUCCAUCUAUCCUGGCUAUUUGUCCAUUAUCCAGCCAUUCAUGUGUCUGCCAUCCUUCCAGCCAUCCAUCCAUCCUACCCAUUCAUCUAUCCAUCGUCCAUUCAUCACCCUUCUAUUCUUCCCUCUGUCCACCCAUUCUUCCAUCUAUCCUGCCUAUUCACCUAUCAUCCAACCAUCUAUCUGCCAUCCUUCCAUCCAUCCAUCCUAUCUAUCCAUCUGUCCAUCAUCCAAUCAUCCAUCCAUCCAUUAUUCUUCUAUUCAUCCCUUGGUCCAUCCAUCCAUCCUAUCUGUUCAUCUGUCCAUAA